GCGCGCGAUACAGGGUGACAGCCCCGUACACAAAAAUGCACAUGCUGUGAGCUCGAUGAGUAGGGCGGGACACGUGGUAUCCUGUCUGAAUAUGGGGGGACCAUCCUCCAAGGCUAAAUACUCCUGACUGACCGAUAGUGAACCAGUACCGUGAGGGAAAGGCGAAAAGAACCCCGGCGAGGGGAGUGAAAAAGAACCUGAAACCGUGUACGUACAAGCAGUGGGAGCCUCUUUAUGGGGUGACUGCGUACCUUUUGUAUAAUGGGUCAGCGACUUAUAUUCUGUAGCAAGGUUAACCGAAUAGGGGAGCCGAAGGGAAACCGAGUCUUAACUGGGCGUUAAGUUGCAGGGUAUAGACCCGAAACCCGGUGAUCUAGCCAUGGGCAGGUUGAAGGUUGGGUAACACUAACUGGAGGACCGAACCGACUAAUGUUGAAAAAUUAGCGGAUGACUUGUGGCUGGGGGUGAAAGGCCAAUCAAACCGGGAGAUAGCUGGUUCUCCCCGAAAGCUAUUUAGGUAGCGCCUCGUGAAUUCAUCUCCGGGGGUAGAGCACUGUUUCGGCAAGGGGGUCAUCCCGACUUACCAACCCGAUGCAAACUGCGAAUACCGGAGAAUGUUAUCACGGGAGACACACGGCGGGUGCUAACGUCCGUCGUGAAGAGGGAAACAACCCAGACCGCCAGCUAAGGUCCCAAAGUCAUGGUUAAGUGGGAAACGAUGUGGGAAGGCCCAGACAGCCAGGAUGUUGGCUUAGAAGCAGCCAUCAUUUAAAGAAAGCGUAAUAGCUCACUGGUCGAGUCGGCCUGCGCGGAAGAUGUAACGGGGCUAAACCAUGCACCGAAGCUGCGGCAGCGACGCUUAUGCGUUGUUGGGUAGGGGAGCGUUCUGUAAGCCUGCGAAGGUGUGCUGUGAGGCAUGCUGGAGGUAUCAGAAGUGCGAAUGCUGACAUAAGUAACGAUAAAGCGGGUGAAAAGCCCGCUCGCCGGAAGACCAAGGGUUCCUGUCCAACGUUAAUCGGGGCAGGGUGAGUCGACCCCUAAGGCGAGGCCGAAAGGCGUAGUCGAUGGGAAACAGGUUAAUAUUCCUGUACUUGGUGUUACUGCGAAGGGGGGACGGAGAAGGCUAUGUUGGCCGGGCGACGGUUGUCCCGGUUUAAGCGUGUAGGCUGGUUUUCCAGGCAAAUCCGGAAAAUCAAGGCUGAGGCGUGAUGACGAGGCACUACGGUGCUGAAGCAACAAAUGCCCUGCUUCCAGGAAAAGCCUCUAAGCAUCAGGUAACAUCAAAUCGUACCCCAAACCGACACAGGUGGUCAGGUAGAGAAUACCAAGGCGCUUGAGAGAACUCGGGUGAAGGAACUAGGCAAAAUGGUGCCGUAACUUCGGGAGAAGGCACGCUGAUAUGUAGGUGAAGCGACUUGCUCGUGGAGCUGAAAUCAGUCGAAGAUACCAGCUGGCUGCAACUGUUUAUUAAAAACACAGCACUGUGCAAACACGAAAGUGGACGUAUACGGUGUGACGCCUGCCCGGUGCCGGAAGGUUAAUUGAUGGGGUUAGCGGUAACGCGAAGCUCUUGAUCGAAGCCCCGGUAAACGGCGGCCGUAACUAUAACGGUCCUAAGGUAGCGAAAUUCCUUGUCGGGUAAGUUCCGACCUGCACGAAUGGCGUAAUGAUGGCCAGGCUGUCUCCACCCGAGACUCAGUGAAAUUGAACUCGCUGUGAAGAUGCAGUGUACCCGCGGCAAGACGGAAAGACCCCGUGAACCUUUACUAUAGCUUGACACUGAACAUUGAGCCUUGAUGUGUAGGAUAGGUGGGAGGCUUUGAAGUGUGG
rnacentral:rRNA from 1 species